rnacentral:rRNA from 4 species
GACUCGUCACACUAUCAUUAACUGAAUCCAUAGGUUAAUGAGGCGAACCGGGGGAACUGAAACAUCUAAGUACCCCGAGGAAAAGAAAUCAACCGAGAUUCCCCCAGUAGCGGCGAGCGAACGGGGAGGAGCCCAGAGCCUGAAUCAGCAUGUGUGUUAGUGGAAGCGUCUGGAAAGGCGCGCGAUACAGGGUGACAGCCCCGUACACAAAAGCGCAUGUGCUGUGAGCUCGAUGAGUAGGGCGGGACACGUGGUAUCCUGUCUGAAUAUGGGGGGACCAUCCUCCAAGGCUAAAUACUCCUGACUGACCGAUAGUGAACCAGUACCGUGAGGGAAAGGCGAAAAGAACCCCGGCGAGGGGAGUGAAAAAGAACCUGAAACCGUGUACGUACAAGCAGUGGGAGCACAGGUUUACCUG